UAUAAUCUAUGUCUGCACAACGGA
rnacentral:siRNA from 1 species